UGGGAAUUUGGACAAUGGGCGAAAGCCUGAUCCAGCAAUGCCGCGUGUGUGAAGAAGGCCUUCGGGUUGUAAAGCACUUUUGUCCGGAAAGAAAUCCUUGGCUCUAAUACAGUCGGGGGAUGACGGUACCGGAAGAAUAAGCACCGGCUAACUACGUGCCAGCAGCCGCGGUAAUACGUAGGGUGCAAGCGUUAAUCGGAAUUACUGGGCGUAAAGCGUGCGCAGGCGGUUUGCUAAGACCGAUGUGAAAUCCCCGGGCUCAACCUGGGAACUGCAUUGGUGACUGGCAGGCUAGAGUAUGGCAGAGGGGGGUAGAAUUCCACGUGUAGCAGUGAAAUGCGUAGAGAUGUGGAGGAAUACCGAUGGCGAAGGCAGCCCCCUGGGCCAAUACUGACGCUCAUGCACGAAAGCGUGGGGAGCAAACAGGAUUAGAUACCCUGGUAGUCCACGCCCUAAACGAUGUCAACUAGUUGUUGGGGAUUCAUUUCCUAGUAACGUAGCUAACGCGUGAAGUUGACCGCCUGGGGAGUACGGUCGCAAGAUUAAAACUCAAAUGAAUUGACGGGGUCAAGCUG
rnacentral:rRNA from 1 species